GGGCCUGUAGUCUACCGGUAUGACGCAGCCUUCGCAAGGCUGAAGUCCGGGUUCAAUUCCCGGCAGGUCCA
rnacentral:tRNA from 1 species